rnacentral:lncRNA from 1 species
AUGCCCAAUCCCUGCUCCCAGUUCAUCCCAGUAUCUCCCAGUUCCUCCCAGUGCAUUCCCAGUAAGGCCCUACAUGCCCAAUCCCUGCUCCCAGUUCAUCCCGGUGUCUCCCAGUUCAUCCCAGUACCUUCCAGUGCCCCCCAGUCCAUCCCAGUUGCUCUCAAUUCCCUCCCAGUUCACCCCAGUUCCAUCCCAGUUCCCACCCAGUCCCUCCCAGUUACCCCCAAUUCCCUCCCAGUCCGCCCCAGUUCCCUCCCAGUCCACCCCAGUUCCAUUCCAGUUCCAUCCCAGUCCACCCCAGUUCCCACCCAGUUCCUCCCAGUUCCAUUCCAGUUCCCUCCCAGUCCCUCCCAGUUCUCCCCAUUGCCCAGACUGACACCGAGGGGCGUGGCCAAAUGAAAGGGGGCGUGGCUUAAGGAAAGGGGGCGUGGCCUAAGACAGAAGGGCGGAGCCUAAGGCCACCCUAACCAAUGAGGGGCGGAGUCUAAUACACCAAGGGGGCGUGGUCAUAAGAAGGGGGCGUGGCCAACUGACACUGGGCGGUGCUCAGUGAUUGGGUGGGGUCCGAAUGAGGGGCGUGGUCACAGCGUGUGGGCGGGGCUAAAGGGUGUGGGCGGGGCUUAAUGGGAAGACAUUUGGGGGGGUUACGUUGCGUUUUUGUAACUUUUCCCUUUUAAUUUUUUUAUUCUUUCCUUUUUUCUUCUUUUUCUGCCAUCAUUUUCUUCCACCUCUUUUCCCAUUUUGUUAUUUUGUCUGCUGGUUUUGUUUUUUG